rnacentral:tRNA from 5 species
GCCGCGUUCGUCUAGGGGUCUAGGACGCCAGCCUCUCACGCUGGUAACACGGGUUCGAAUCCCGUACGCGGUACCA